rnacentral:tRNA from 1 species
GCGCCCGUAGCUCAGCGGAUUAGAGUAUUGGCCUCCGAAGCCAAGGGUCGUGGGUUCGAAUCCCGCCGGGCGCG